rnacentral:lncRNA from 1 species
CACGCGCCGCAGGCGCAGGCGGACCGCGGUCUAGAUCCGCUGCCGCAGCCGCCGCCGCAGCCUGCUGCUCCAACAGCUCCUGAAUCCUAUCGAACCGUCCUGUGAGCGUCGCGACUUGCGCUCGCAACUCCUGCACCUCAGUAGGCCCAGCUGGCACUGGCGCCACUGGAGGCACGGCUGGCCCGGGCACCUCUUGAGGUGGUGCCGGAGCGGUCCUACGCACGUAGCGUCUCUUUGGUGCCAUAGCUCCUGAAACGCAAACAGUUGGUUAAUUACUUAACCCAACAACAUCGUCGUAAACACGAAACAUAACGGUUAAAGAACAUCAAUCAGGCGGUAAGCUUGCAAGUGUCUUAAUUCUCGACUCUCGGCAUCGUGUUGUCGGCCGCCAACACAAUCACCUUAAGCCAAAAAUUAAUACCACUUGAAUCAUCUCUAGCCAUAACUAGAGUAACAACACCAACUCCAAACCCAAUCAAUUAGCUUCCGCCGCGUCAUAGGUUCACGUCGCACUCACGCACCUAUAACCUUAGGGUUAACCAACCUAGAGUCUCCUAGGUCAUCCUAGACUCUCUCUUUUGCUUGCUCUUAACUCGCUCUGAUACCACUUAACUGUCACGCCCCAACCGCGCGGCCCGAAAACGGUACCAAUUUGGUCCGGUUCGAGGGCGGCGGCGCGACCGCCGAACGGACGGAGUUUCCCCUGUCCGCCCAAGGCUAAGCAACAGAUUGUGUACAACAAGUCCCCAGGAAUACAACUUGAAUACAUACACAAUCAAACAACGAUAAACGAGAGCACAAACAGUGCUACAACCAACUAGAGCAAGCGAUACAAGUAAAACCAUACAAGUAUACAAAAGAGAGAAACUUAGCUAAUUGAGACAUCAUUGAAACGUUUAAACCUCUUUUAACAUCAUUUAAACUUUAAACUUUGAUACAACUUGCAUUCUUUAUCCAAAAUGAAUAUACAUCAUAAGCUCUCCAAAACCUCACCCUAUACAACAUCUACUCUCAAAAUGUAUAACCAAAAGUACAGGGUAGAGCUAAUGCAAGUAGGGAAGGUAAAGCUAUCAACCAACUGCUAGGGCGCUAUGCCCUUGCCGCGAUCCAUCGACGAAGGCCCGCUGUCCUGUGUACCUGUACCCCCAAAGCCACACGGGGGUGAGAACUACGAAUAGUUCCCAGUGGGUUCGGCCGCCGACUCCGCCGAUCUACCCACUAGGUCUCAAGUAGGCAUAGAGAGAUAUAUAUGCAAUAUAUAUAUAAAACUAAGCUGAACGGAAAGCGGGUAUGUAAACAACUAUAUCAAGCUAUGCCUCAAUCUGGAAUCAUGAAUGCAUGAACAAUAAACAAAGCUGGGUAAGUAAGCAACUAUCAACAUCUACAACAGCUAUCAUAGUAACUAUAAAACAUGCUACUAGGUAAGCAAGUAAGCUGAUAUGAACAAUGAAUAGCUACUAUGAACAUCAAUCAUGGGUAAGACUCAAUGGGUAACCCAAUCCUCGAGUGAACGCAAGGUUCACAAGCAAGGCUCACAUAUCAAUCUCCGAGGGAUGCCUAGCUGGUCGAUCCCCGAGUAUGCCUGCGGAUAACAAGCGGCUAUCCGAGCAGCGAGCAGGGCUGCCUCUCUAGUGACCAAACUCCGGAGCGCACAACUUGAGGGGAGCGACCCCACCAAACGCAGACAGGCAAUGUGAGCAAGAUCAUCUCACGAGCAACAACAAUAACCCUUUGAGGGUAAUAUCAUCAUGAAAGCAAUGUAUACUUGUACCCAAUCUCAUAGUGUCUCGACUACACUAAAGUUCUCAUAUCAAGGUAAUCAACAAUCAUAUGCCACUCAUCAUAGUUUUCUAACUAGGUGCCACUCAUCAAUUUUGACUCAUUAUCAACACUAGUUUCAUCAUACUAGUUCUUUAGCAACAUAAGCAUUGAUCCUCUCAUAUAGGGUUAAAUCUCAUCAUAUAGUUUUCAUCAUACAACCAUCAUGCAUACUAGAUCAUGAACCAACCAAGCAAAAUAUAUUGAGCUACUAGCAUGCAAGUAUAAGCAUCAAUAAUCAUUUUCUAACCCUAUAUGUUUAUACACAAUAUGCAAAUAGAUCAAUUUAAACUUAGACAUAGAAGGUGGCCCGAUGACUUCGGUAUGGCACUCCCCCACCUUUGGCGAUGCCAAAAACACUCCGAGACGCGUUCUCGUGUUAGUCUUGUCGCCGCUUAAUUUUCGUUGGGUUAGCUUUAACCCUUUAGCACAUCAAAUGGCGAUAUCUUCACGCUCGAUCCUCGAAUCGACGAACCGUCUUCGCCUACGCGUUUAUAAGCAUGGAAAUUAGGUUUCUAACCCCUCAAAAGAGAUCAAACCCUUAUAUUUCCAAAAAUCCCAAAUCUAACCCUAGGUGUAGCAACAAUAGAGAAAUCAUGGUUUCAAGCUCCAAAUUUGGGAUUGAACCUUCUCUUAAGCUCCAAUGGUUUACAUUUGAACCAUCCUUAAGCAACAAAACCCUUUUUAAAACCUAGGUUUAGCAAUAAUGAGGAAAACCAUGGGUGCUAGCCUCAUUGUGAGCUAGAUCCAUCAUCUCUAAACUCAUUAGGUUCCAUUUGAACCAAUUAAAGCAACAAAAACCUCCCAAACCCUAGAAAUCCAAAACUAGGGUUAGAGCUUACCUCAAGGGUUUGCUCCAAAGCAAGCCCUAGCUUGAAAACGUGGAGGAGGAGAGCUUCUUGAUCUUUUCCUCCCUUUCUCUCCUUCUCUUCUUCUUCUUUCUUCCUCUCUUCUUCUUCUCCUUCUUUUCUCCUUCACCCGGUUAGAGAGAGAGAGAGAGCUAGAGAGAGAGAAAGGCUGUGGGAGUGAGAGAGAAGAGAGCUGAGUGUGAGAGGAAUAAGUCCUCUAUUGUAACAAAAUGCUAAAAAGCUCUCCUUUUAUCAGAUUUUGCAACUUAACCCGCUGCCUGCGCGCCCUUGUACCGGUACACGGGACCUUGUACCGGUACAAGGCCCUAAACCGAGCGCAAACCGAGCGUCGGGUUUCUCUGUUUCGCAGAGCUUGUACCGGUACAAGCCAGCCUUGUACCGGUACAGCGCCUGAAGCCUUCGAACCCGAGAGCUACGCAGCCUGGCUGCGAUGGUUGUACCGGUACAACCAUCACCCUUGUACCGGUACAGAAGCUCCAGAAUGCUGUUUUUCGAUCUGCUUCGAUUCCUUUUCGCGUCCAACAACGCUAAAGCUAUUCCAACACUUUUGGAACUCAUUUUUACUCUUCCUAACAUGUCGAAAUACCGAAUGGAACUUGUCCAAGCAUCCGAUUGCUCACUUUGGUCCAUUUGGCCAAAGUUAGCCAAUAUCGUCGAAUUUCGAUAUCUUACAUUCUCCACCCCUUAAAAGGAGUUUCGUCCUCGAAACAACUCAACUCUUAACUUGAACUUAAACGCUUACCUCAAUCCUCGAACAGGUGAGGAUGGUUCGCUUUCAUCUGAUCCUCAAGCUCCCAAGUGGCUUCACGAUCAUCGUGAUUGCUCCACCGAACUUUAACAUAGGGAAUUUCUCGAUUCCUUAACUUACGCACCUCUCGAGCCAAAAUCUCUACCGGAAACUCUUCAUAGCUCAAAUCGUCUUGAAGCUCCGGUGGCUCAUAUAGCAUGGCAUGCUCGGGGUCGUGAAUAUACUUGCGAAGGUUGGAGACGUGGAACACAUUGUGCACACCCGCAAGCUUCGGGGGCAAUGCAAGUCGAUACGCCACCGUCCCAACUCGCUCCAAGAUCUCGUAGGGCCCGAUAUAACGAGGACUUAGCUUUCCUCGUACCCCAAACCUUUUCACGCCUCGCAUCGGUGAAACCUUUAAGAAUACGCGGUCACCCACCGCGAACUCCAAAUCUCGCCGGCGCCUAUCCGCAUAGCUUUGCUGUCUCGACUGCGCCGUGAGCAAUCUUUUGCGAGCAAGGCGGACUUUCUCCUCCGCUUCUCGCAACACAUCCGGGCCGAACUCCGUACGCUCACCUACAUCACUCCAAUGUAUAGGAGAUCGGCAUACCCGUCCAUAGAGGGCCUCGAACGGUGCCAUUCCCACACUAGUAUGAUAACUAUUGUUGUAGGCGAACUCGGCCAUCGGUAGGUGAUCACACCAAUUUCCUUUAUAGUCAAUGACACACGCUCGCAACAUAUCCUCCAGAGUUUGAAUAGUCCUCUCUGUUUGCCCAUCAGUCUGAGGAUGAAACGCUGAGCUAAAAUCGAGCCGUGUGCCAAGGGCUUCCUGCAGGCUCUUCCAGAAAUGCGAAGUGAACCGGGGGUCACGAUCCGACACGAUCGAUUUCGGCACCCCAUGCAGUCUCACUAUCUCGUCAAGGUACACCUGCGCUAACUUGUCACCCGACCACGUGGUGUGAAUCGGCAAGAAAUGAGCCGACUUCGUCAAUCGGUCCACAAUUACCCAAAUUGCAUCGUGGCCGCCCUUUGAGCGGGGUAAGCCGACCACGAAGUCCAUCGAGAUAUCCUCCCAUUUCCAAACGGGGAUUGGUAGACUUUGAAGCUUUCCCGCUGGGAAUCGAUGCUCGGCCUUCACCUGUUGGCAGGCUAGGCACUUUGCCACAAAGCGUCCAAUGUCGCCUUUCAUUCCCGGCCACCAAUAGUGCAUUUUUAGGCCUUGAUACAUCUUGGUGCCGCCCGGGUGGCCAGCAUACGGGGACCAAUGCGACUCCUGUAAUAUAAGCUUGCGAAGCUCUUCAUCAGCGGGUACACACCUACGGUUCCGAAACCGAAGCGUACCAUCGGCGUCAACAUUGAACUCGCCACCAUGACCUUCCUCGAUGUUUCGCCGCACCUUUUGGAGUUCUGGGUCCGCAAGUUGCAGAUCUUUAAUCCUCUCCAACAAGGUCGGUUGGACAACGAGUGCCAUUAACUGAGUCGGGACCUCGGGAGCAACCACUUCUAGGUCCAAUCGCUCCAUAUCCAACCCUAGGGGUUUCUGCCGGGUAACAUCGAAAGCAAGGUUCUUUACCGUCUUCCUACUCAGCGCAUCAGCGACCACAUUGGCUUUCCCGGGGUGGUAAAGGAUAUCAACAUCAUAAUCCUUAAGCAAUUCCAACCACCGCCGCUGUCGCAUAUUGAGCUCUUUCUGUGUGAACAGAUACUUCAAGCUUUUAUGGUCGGUGUAGAUCUCGCAAUGAGCACCAUAUAGAUAAUGUCUCCAAAGCUUCAAGGCAAAGAUCACCGCCGCCAACUCUAGAUCAUGAAUGGGGUAGUUCUUUUCAUAGCCUUUCAACUGACGGGAUGCAUAAGCAAUAACCUUCCCGCCCUGCAUCAGCACACACCCCAAGCCCAAAUAAGAAGCAUCACUGUAGACGACAUAGUCCUGUCCUUGCACCGGUAAAGCGAGUACCGGAGUCGAAGUUAACCUUUGCUUCAACUCUUUAAAGCUCCGGUCACACUCGUCGCUCCAAACAAACUUGAUGCCUUUUUGGGUCAAACGGGUAAGUGGAGUCACAAUCUUCGAGAACCCCUCCACAAACCGUCGAUAAUAACCGGCUAGGCCCACAAAGCUACGGACCUCGGUAACGUUCGUCGGGCGCGGCCAAUUUUCAAUAGCCUCAACUUUCCUCGGGUCAACAGAAACUCCACCCUCGGAAAUAACAUGCCCGAGAAACGCAACUUCCCUAAGCCAAAAGUCGCACUUCCUCAGCUUUGCGUACAACUUCUUCUCCCGAAGGAUCUGUAGUACCUUGCGCAAAUGCUCCGCGUGCUCCUCGUCGCUACGCGAAUACNAAUCGGUCUCCUGGUCUGGCGGCAUACCCGACAACUCCGCGGGAAACACAUCGGGGAACUCCCGCACAACCGCCAACUCCUCAAGGGUCGGAACCACUCGAUCAAUCUCCACCACGGUCGCCAAAUAGGCUGAGCAACCGCUGUUCACCAGCUUCCUCGCUCUAGUCGCCGAUACUGUUGCGGCGAAGUACGAGCUCUUACAAGCUCGAUAGGUGAACUCUUCUUGUCCCGGCUCCCGAAAUGUGAUAACUCGAGUCGGGCAAUCGAUCGAUACAUAGUACUUCGAGAGUCAAUCCAUGCCCAAUAUGACAUCGAACUCUUUCAGCUUCUUGAGCACCAACAAGUCGAUUGGCAUAACCCAGUCAUUCACUUGCACUGGACAUGCCAAACAUCGCUUCCUAACCAGAAAGGAUCGCCCGGGACCCUCAACAUGCCAAACGUGCUCCCCAAGACCAUACUCGAUAUCAUGCGCUCGUGCAAAUGAUCGACUAAUGAACGAAUGUGAAGCGCCUGUAUCAAAUAAAGCUCAAGCUCGAACAUCUUUAAUCAAAAUUAUACCUGCCACAACAUUGCGCUCGCCGGCCUCUGAAGGCUCCUCAAUGUGAACGGGUGCGGCAUACAUCCUCCCGCUCGGCGCUGAUCGUGCAGGCUCUUGUUGGCGUGGCGCUGCCGCUCGUCCAGUAGAUGCUGCAGGAGGGGGCAGAGCAUAGCGAGCUGGAACCGCCGGGGCCGAUGCAGUGGACAUCGCGGGCGAAGCUCCUCCCUGAGGACAGUCGCGGAUCUGAUGUCCCGCUUGCUCGCACUUGAAGCAUCUCCCUCGGCGAUGAUCACAUGCACCCGGUCGGUGGUCACCGCCGCAGAAAACGCACCGCUCAGCACCUCGACCCUUGGGCUGUGAGCGUGGAUACUUCGGGGGCCUCCUGGAGUUCUACUGGCCGCCCGAUCCACCGCCCUGUCUUUUCUUGCCCUUGUCCUUAUCCUUGUCGAGCGCUUCACGGUCCUCACGCUCGCAAGCGUUCCCGUGCUCGACCCAUAGCGCGCGAUCUAAUGCUCCCGCCAAAGUGUGGAACUUGAAGGCAUGCACCAACUUGAACACUCCGGGCCGAAGCCCUCGAACAAAGCAAUCUGCCCGAUCCUGCUCUGUCGUCGCCACGUCCGGGACACAACUCAGGAGAUGGGUGAACUCCCGCUCGUACUCCCGAACUGUGCGAUUGCCUUGCUUGAGCUUGCGAAAGUCUUCCCGCAUCCUUCUCUUAUCGCUGUCGGGGAAGUACUCGGCGAACAUCAGCUUGCGGAACUCCGCCCAAUCAAUCGGGGGAAGCUCCGGGGAUCGGUCCUGCUUGACUCUCCUCCACCAAGUCCUGGCCCGCUUCUCGAAGCAAUGCGCGGCCAAGUUCACCUUGUCCCUCUCCAAGGUGAAAAUGUCCUCAAAAAGAGUCUCCAUAGCAGUCAGCCAAGACUCCACCGUCGCUGGAUCCACCACCUCUCCGUCGAAAGUAGGCGGACGAAACUUCGUGAAUCUCGUGAGCGCCACAUAGCCACGCUCACGCUCCGCCUCCUCAGCCGCUGCCGCGGGGGUAGGAGAACUCGAACUAGCCGGAGGAAUAUCCACCGGUGGGGGUUGCGCCGCCACCGGAACCGAAACGCCACCCACACCCUCGGCCGCAUCAGGGGCGCGUGCCGAAGGCGCAGGCGGACCGCGGCCUGGAUCCGCUGCCGCAGCCUGCUGUUCCAGCAGCUCCUGAAUCCUAUCGAACCGUCCUGUGAGCGUCGCAACCUGCGCUCGCAACUCCUGCACCUCAGUAGGCCCAGCUGGCACUGGCGCCACUGGAGGCACGGCUGGCCCGGGCACCUCUCGAGGUGGUGCCGGAGCGGUCCUACGCACGUAGCGUCUCUUUGGUGCCAUAGCUCCUGAAACGCAAACAGUUGGUUAAUUACUUAACUCAACAACA